AUGAUUCCUUGAUGAGUUAGCGU
rnacentral:siRNA from 1 species